CAUAGCCUUUAGCCAAACAAGUAUUAAAGGUCCUGCCUGCCCAGUGAACCAACGGCCACGGUAUCCUAACUGUGCAAAGGUAGCGUAAUCACUUGUCUUUUAAAUAAAGACUCGUAUGAACGGCUAAAUGAGGAUAACCCUGUCUCUUAUAAUGAAUAAGUGAAACUGAUCUUCAAGUACAAAAGCUUGGAUAAACCCAUAACAAGAGAAGACCCCGUGGAGCUUAAAAUAGUGCUAUUAUAAAUAAUAGAGAAUUUUAAGUUGGGGCAACUUCUGAAUAAAAAAGAACUUCCGAGCAUGAAGUCAACCACUCUGACUUAGACCAACAAGUCAAACUGACCCAGUCCUACUGAUCAACGAACCAAGUUACCCCGGGGAUAACAGCGCCAUCUUCUCCAAGAGUUCCUAUCGACAAGAAGGUUUACGACCUCGAUGUUGGAUCAGGACACCCAAAUGGUGCAGCAGCUAUUAAAGGUUCGUUUGUUCAACGAUUAACAGUCCUACGUGAUCUG
rnacentral:rRNA from 1 species